CAUACCCAUUCACCACCACCGCGGAGUGAGUGUCAGUAUCCUACUAUGUGUCCGUGCAGUCAACUAGUAUAGUUAUUGUUUGUGAAAAUCUGUGUAUGAUGACCUACAACACAAAUGCGCAUCAUGACUUCAAUCAAGGCAACUUGGAACGUACCCGAUCCUCCCAUGCGAUCAUCCUCUUUCCCGGACCUGAGCCCUAGGACCAUGCCUCAGGACUACCUGGCAUGAUGACUCCUUGCUGU